UACGUAGGGUGCGAGCGUUGUCCGGAAUUAUUGGGCGUAAAGAGCUUGUAGGCGGUCUGUCGCGUCUGCUGUGAAAAUCCGGGGCGCUCAACCCCGGACUUGCAGUGGGGUACGGGCAGACUAGAGUGUGGUAGGGGAGACUGGAAUUCCUGGUGUAGCGGUGAAAUGCGCAGAUAUCAGGAGGAACACCGAUGGCGAAGGCAGGUCUCUGGGCGAUUAAACUG
rnacentral:rRNA from 1 species